rnacentral:lncRNA from 1 species
GGGGAGUUUGUUGGUUCUUGUGUUGGCAGCAAUUUUGGUAAAACCUAGAAUGUUAGCAAGUUGUCACAUGUGGUCCACGUUUUUUUUUUAUUUUCCAAUUUUCAUUUUAUUUGUGUUAUUUUCAUUAAUUCAUAUUAAUUUUAAUAUUGAUCCAAAUAAAUGAGAGUUUCACCAAAAAUUUUAAAUAAAUUCCUCUUUCAUUUU